UACGGGGGGAGCAAGCGUUGUUCGGAUUUACUGGGCGUAAAGGGCGCGUAGGCGGCCUCUGCAAGUCGACUGUGAAAUCUCCGGGCUUAACCCGGAAAGGUCAGCCGAUACUGCAGGGCUAGAGUGCAGAAGGGGCAACUGGAAUUCUCGGUGUAGCGGUGAAAUGCGUAGAUAUCGGGAGGAACACCAGUGGCGAAGGCGGCGAUCUGGGAAGAUACUGACGCUGAGGUGCGAAAGCGUGGGGAGCAAACAGG
rnacentral:rRNA from 1 species